rnacentral:misc_RNA from 1 species
AGCAGCCGCGGUAAUUCCAGCUCCAAUAGCGUAUAUUAAAGUUGCUGCAGUUAAAAGCUCGUAGUUGAAUUUCGGGAUCAAUAUGUUGGUCGUGCCUCGGUACGUACUAGCUUAUUGGUUUCUUCCUUCUGACGAACCAUAAUGUCAUUUAUUUGGUGUUAUGGGAAUCAGGACUGUUACUUUGAAAAAUUGAGUGUUUAAAGCAGGCUCAUGCUUGAAUACAUUAGCAUGGAAUAAUGAAAUAGGACGUUUGAUUCUAUUUUGUUGGUUUCUAGGAUCGACGUAAUGAUUAAUAGGGAUAGUUGGGGGCAUUAGUAUUCAAUUGUCAGAGGUGAAAUUCUUGGAUUUAUUGAAGACUAACUACUGCGAAAGCAUUUGCCAAGGAUGU